UUAGCAUUGGCAGAAGUGCUGGAAGCUCAGAAAGCCACAGCUUCAUUUGUGAAAGGUUUCCCUAGGCAAAGAGAACUAAAGAUGUCUUCUUUCCAGUCCCUUUGUGCAAGGAAGGUAGUACUACCUGCUACCUCAUAAGGAGGAGGAAUCUGCCCUGACAAAUAUUUUCGUGUUCUGACCUCUAUGAUUUAUUAACCAUCAACUUCUGCCUUGAGAAAUCAAGAUGUCAUUUCCUUAGUAAUUCCUUAGGAAAAAAAAAGAUUUACUGGGCAAAAGGGAUCCUUCAAAAUCAGAUUAAACUUGGAUUGUUUGAAGAGUGCGGAGAUAUUUCACGGUAGUGCAAAAAGUGCAUAAGAAGAGAGCAAAAUGAGAGCUUCCCAAGUACCGAAUGCCUGCAGUCUGUUAUCUUUAGCAAUGCUGUUCCUUCCCGUCACUGGAACGUCAAAACAAAAUAUCCCAAGACUCAAACUUUCCUAUAAAGGU